CCUACGGGAGGCAGCAGUGGGGAAUAUUGCGCAAUGGGCGAAAGCCUGACGCAGCGACGCCGCGUGAGGGAUGAAGGUCUUCGGAUCGUAAACCUCUGUCAGCAGGGAAGAACGGUCACUGUGCUAAUCAGCAGUGAAUUGACGGUACCUGCAAAGGAAGCACCGGCUAACUCCGUGCCAGCAGCCGCGGUAAUACGGAGGGUGCGAGCGUUAAUCGGAAUUACUGGGCGUAAAGCGCUCGUAGGCGGUAUGUCAAGUCAAGGGUGAAAUCCCCGCGCUCAACGUGGGAACUGCCUUUGAAACUGGCAAACUGGAGUGUGGGAGAGGAUAGUGGAAUUACAGGUGUAGGAGUGAAAUGCGUAGAUAUCUGGAGGAACAUCAGUGGCGAAGGCGACUAUCUGGCACAUAACUGACGCUGAGGAGCGAAAGCGUGGGUAGCAAACAGGAUUAGAUACCCUUGUAGUC
rnacentral:rRNA from 1 species